AUACGUAGGGGGCGAGCGUUGUCCGGAAUGAUUGGGCGUAAAGGGCGCGUAGGCGGCCCGGUAAGUCUGGAGUGAAAGUCCUGUUUUUAAGAUGGGAAUUGCUUUGGAUACUGUCGGGCUUGAGUGCAGGAGAGGUAAGUGGAAUUCCCAGUGUAGCGGUGAAAUGCGUAGAGAUUGGGAGGAACACCAGUGGCGAAGGCGACUUACUGGACUGUAACUGACGCUGAGGCGCGAAAUUGUGGGGAGCAAACAGGAUUAGAUACCCUGGUAGUCCACACUGUAAACGAUGAAUGCUAGGUGUAGGGGGUAUCGACCCCUUCUGUGCCGCAGUCAACACAAUAAGCAUUCCGCCUGGGGAGUACGGCCGCAAGGUUGAAACUCAAAGGAAUUGACGGGU
rnacentral:rRNA from 1 species